rnacentral:rRNA from 1 species
AUACGUAGGGUGCGAGCGUUAAUCGGAAUUACUGGGCGUAAAGCGUGCGCAGGCGGUUUUGUAAGACAGAGGUGAAAUCCCCGGGCUCAACCUGGGAACUGCCUUUGUGACUGCAAGGCUAGAGUACGGCAGAGGGGGAUGGAAUUCCGCGUGUAGCAGUGAAAUGCGUAGAUAUGCGGAGGAACACCGAUGGCGAAGGCAAUCCCCUGGGCCUGUACUGACGCUCAUGCACGAAAGCGUGGGGAGCAAACAGGAUUAGAAACCCUAGUAGUCC